UUGAAAAACAGAGUGAUUGGUAUGAACAAGUGACAACUGGAAAAAACGUGAUAAUAAAGUUAAUGAUUAAAAGAAUGGGGUUAUGACUUUCUGAUACGGUUGUCUGAUGUCUGUAUUUUAUUGAAUCACUUUAUUGCCACAAGAAAAGAAGAAGAAGAAGAAGGUGGUGAUCCAAGUAAGAGUGAUGAGUAAAGGAAAGGAAAUACAAGAUAGAAAUCAGAAAAACACAUGACAUGUAUUAGGAACCAGCAAAGAAAAGGGAAAAUCAUUGGAAAGUUAAAAGAAAAGGUGUCUCUAAACUGGUUUGCCAUGUUAUGCUUAUGCAUGAUUCCUUUUGUUUCUGCCUUCAUAGACAAGGCACUCCGACUCAUUUUUAUGACACUGAUCUCAAAGGAACGAAGGCCCAGCUCACGAAUGGCCCAAUCCAGAAAAUGGCCCAAACUGGCCUGUUCGCUACACGUUCGCUACACGCUCGCCUAGCGAAGCUGACAGAUAACAGAAAAUUCUGGGCUUCACUCUGAGCCCAUUAGGUCACAAAAAAGAGCAUUAUAAAUACCAGCACUUCAGUAAUGAAAAGAGAACGAAAACGGAGAGAGGAGAACCCUAGCAAGCAAACCCUAACACUCACGGAGGCAAGCCCUGAAGGAACUCGGCGGCAUCAAGGUUUACCUCCGCCCAAUUCAAUCCGAUCUGCCGAUUCAAAGUCGCAACUCAAUUGCAAACAG